rnacentral:rRNA from 1 species
UGUCGUCAGCUCGUGUUGUGAAAUGUUGGGUUAAGUCCCGCAACGAGCGCAACCCUUAUCCUUUGUUGCCAGCGGUCCGGCCGGGAACUCAAAGGAGACUGCCAGUGAUAAACUGGAGGAAGGUGGGGAUGACGUCAAGUCAUCAUGGCCCUUACGACCAGGGCUACACACGUGCUACAAUGGCGCAUACAAAGAGAAGCGACCUCGCGAGAGCAAGCGGACCUCAUAAAGUGCGUCGUAGUCCGGAUUGGAGUCUGCAACUCGACUCCAUGAAGUCGGAAUCGCUAGUAAUCGUGGAUCAGAAUGCCACGGUGAAUACGUUCCCGGGCCUUGUACACACCGCCCGUCACACCAUGGGAGUGGGUUGCAAAAGAAGUAGGUAGCUUAACCUUCGGGAGGGCGCUUAC